rnacentral:rRNA from 1 species
GACGAACGCUGGCGGCGUGCUUAACACAUGCAAGUCGAACGGAAAGGCCCUGCUUUUGUGGGGUGCUCGAGUGGCGAACGGGUGAGUAACACGUGAGUAACCUGCCCUUGACUUUGGGAUAACUUCAGGAAACUGGGGCUAAUACCGGAUAGGAGCUCCUGCUGCAUGGUGGGGGUUGGAAAGUUUCGGCGGUUGGGGAUGGACUCGCGGCUUAUCAGCUUGUUGGUGGGGUAGUGGCUUACAAAGGCUUUGACGGGUAGCCGGCCUGAGAGGGUGACCGGCCACAGUGGGACUGAGAUACGGCCCAGACUCCUACGGGAGGCAGCAGUGGGGAAUAUUGCACAAUGGGCGGAAGCCUGAUGCAGCAACGCCGCGUGCGGGAUGACGGCCUUCGGGUUGUAAACCGCUUUCUCCUGUGACGAAGCGUGAGUGACGGUAAUGGGUAAAGAAGCACCGGCUAACUACGUG